AUUGAACGCUGGCGGCAGGCCUAACACAUGCAAGUCGAGCGGAUGAGUGGAGCUUGCUCCAUGAUUCAGCGGCGGACGGGUGAGUAAUGCCUAGGAAUCUGCCUGGUAGUGGGGGACAACGUUUCGAAAGGAACGCUAAUACCGCAUACGUCCUACGGGAGAAAGCAGGGGACCUUCGGGCCUUGCGCUAUCAGAUGCGCCUAGGUCGGAUUAGCUAGUAGGUGAGGUAAAGGCUCACCUAGGCGACGAUCCGUAACUGGUCUGAGAGGAUGAUCAGUCACACUGGAACUGAGACACGGUCCGGACUCCUACGGGAGGCAGCAGUGGGGAAUAUUGGACAAUGGGCGAAAGCCUGAUCCAGCCAUGCCGCGUGUGUGAAGAAGGUCUUCGGAUUGUAAAGCACUUUAAGUUGGGAGGAAGGGCAGUAAGCUAAUACCUUGCUGUUUUGACGUUACCAACAGAAUAAGCACCGGCUAACUUCGUGCCAGCCGCCGCCGUAAGAC
rnacentral:rRNA from 1 species